rnacentral:tRNA from 1 species
AACGUGUUAGUUUAACUGGUAAAACUCUGUGCUACGGACACAGCAACUGUAAGUUCAAAUCUUACACACGUUA